rnacentral:rRNA from 1 species
CGGACGGGUGAGUAACGCGUGGGGAACCUGCCCUGUACAGGGGGAUAACACUUAGAAAUAGGUGCUAAUACCGCAUAAGCGCACAGUAUCGCAUGAUACAGUGUGAAAAACUCCGGUGGCACAGGAUGGACCCGCGUCUGAUUAGCUGGUUGGCGGGGUAACGGCCCACCAAGGCGACGAUCAGUAGCCGGCCUGAGAGGGUGAACGGCCACAUUGGGACUGAGACACGGCCCAAACUCCUACGGAAGGCAGCAG